GCACCCAUACAUGAUCGCUUUGAGCUUUAAUUAAAGCUUUCUUGUGACGAUUGGAACGAUGUGCAAACACAUCUCUCUCUAUCCCUGUCUUUCUGCUGGCGAGGCUGAGGCUGAUAUCGUACCCACCCUUCCCUUCCUUCCCUUCCCUAUCCACCCCUCCUAAUCGGAGACCCUCAUCGAAGCGCAUUAAAUUCCAAUAAAUUGCCUAAAUUAAGCAAAACGGAACCAGGAAUGGAACGAAUCGGAACGGAGCCAUCAAUGCGCCUUCGACCAGCAUUUCUCAUUCGAGAAUUGCUGUUAUUGUUGACUUUUGGGCGCAAUUAAAAGUACAUUUUAUUGCUGGAAAAUUCUCCAUUGCGUGGUGGAGGAAGCCGUGCAAGCCGUGCAAGCCGUGGACGCCGUGGACGCCAAGUCAUUCUGGAGCCAAACCAAAUACUCCUCCCUCUCCCUCUCCAGAGUUCAGUUCAGUUCGGCUCGCUACUGUCCGCUUUUUGCAUUCCAACCCUCAGGAGCAGCAGCAGAUGCAGCACCACCGUUAUUCGACACGCGACUGGGACCCAGCUCCAGAUCCAAUAUAUCGCUUGCCACAGUGUAGCAACGGGAAAAGAGUGACAGGGACAGCGAAAGCGAGAGCGAGAGCGAGAGCGACAGGAGCACACAGGCAUUACGCACACCCUACCCCCGUCCACCUAUCCGUGUAAGCGUACAUAUGCGAGGGCUGCUAUACAAGUUUCGUGCCUUAGCAGGACUCGCACUAAAAAACUGAAAUUGACACAGGGGAUGUGAAGCCGAGAGUUAGUUCAACUUUUACUGGUGCUGUCUUGUCACCGUGCAGUUGAGGCAUCCUUGGACGUUGGAAAGGAUUUACCAUGAUCACACAAUUUAGGAAUCGGUCAACAAGAGAUGAAUUUGAGUCCGAAACAAAACAGUAAUCCACGGUAUGGGUCAAAGCGAGCCAAAUGCCAAAUGCAAAAUGCAAAAUGCCAAAUGCCAACCGAAAACCAUUUUCCACCACCAAAGUUAUUUUUUGAAAGUUGGGCCAGCUACUCAUGUAGCACCCUACGUAUGUAUUGUAUAUCCGUUUGUAUAAGCCAUAUCCAGGAGUCGGAUUCGAUCAAGAAUCCACCCCAUUCAACGGCCACAUUCAACGGCUCCUGUUUUCCCAGGCCAGCGAACAGGGAAUGGAUUAACUGGUUGAGUUGGUUAACUGACAGACUGAAUUUUGAUUUUGCCCCGCUUAAGCAAGAGUGCGAAGAGGGACAAUAGCCAUGAGAAACGAAGAAUACGGGCUCACACUCUCCCAUAAAUCACUUUUAAGAGGAACAACUUUUAUCAAGAAUCACCUUUCUCAUAGGAGAAAAUGGUAGAGGAAAACAUGACUGACUGUAAAAAUACCCAGAAAGUGAUCUUUUGCCUUUUUUAAUAGAUACUAAUUUCAGAUAAAAAUAAAUAAAAUUAUAUGGCAAUUGGUUAAAUAUCGGGACAAAAGUACAUACAUACUCGUAUGUACAUAUGUAUGUAUGUACAUGGAAAUGGGUUUUAUUAGCUUUUAAUUAUUUGGUCUCGGUCGAAAUAUUCGAAACAGUGAGAGCUCUUUGCGGAAUUGCGGAAAAGGCGGAAGAGGCCAUGAUCGCAGGCAACUCACGCUACGAUCCGUUUUAGUUGGAGUACAUAUGUAUGUACAUA